UGGUCGCCAGGAGCAAGAGAGGGAAAGAAACCCCUCUCACCUUCACAAAGAUGAAGAAUUGAAGCCCUAAACAUAGCUGAAACACUUGCAUGUUAACAAAUUCGUGAUCUUCUAGUCCUAACAAAGCUCAAGGAAUAAAAGAAGAAAGCUCAAAUCAAUCCGGGUCGCAAACGAAGAACGACAAAGGUAAAGCAACUUGUUGACGGCGCUACUUGGAUUGAACACACUUGUGAUGCACGCUUCUGUGAAGUUGUUAAGUUACGGUCUAAACUUUAGUCAAAUGUUUUUGUUAAAAACGGGUCUUUUGUAUGUAUCUUGCCGGUAGUGGUUAGAUGUUGGACUUGUAGUUAAAGAUUUUGUUUAUGGAUUA